GGUGGUGCAGUGAUUAUGAAACAUUCCUCGUACUUACCGGAGAUCCCCAUGAAUGACUCCUAUACACCCAUAGAAUCUGAUCACCA
rfam:Triticum aestivum genome assembly, contig: Triticum_aestivum_CS42_TGACv1_scaffold_393892_5AS